GACGGAGGGGGCAAGCGUUGUCCGGAAUCACUGGGCGUAAAGCGCACGUAGGUGGUCUCGUGCGUCGGUGCUGAAAGCGCCAGGCUUAACCUGGCGAGGCGUGCCGAUACGACGAGACUGGAGGCAGGGAGAGGAUGGCGGAAUUCCGGGUGUAGUGGUGAAAUGCGUAGAGAUCCGGAGGAACGCCAGAGACGAAGGUGGCCAUCUGGCCCUGUCCUGACACUGAGGUGCGAAAGCGUGGGGAGCAAACCGG
rnacentral:rRNA from 1 species